rnacentral:tRNA from 1 species
UGGCUCAGACGGUGAAGCAUCUGCCUAAAAUGCAGGAGACCCAGGUUCGAUCCCUGG